UUGGCGGAAUUGAACGAGUGGAAGCAGAAAGAGACGGUUAUUAUUAUUAUUAUUAUUAUUAUUAUUAUUAUUAUUAUUAUUCAUGUUUUGAAUGGAAGUAGUAUUACAUACUCGUCUUUUGCUUGCUCCUAUGCGUUAGUUUAAAUGUUUGGGCGUUCAUUCUUUUUACUAAUUGAAUUGUAUGAAUAACUAUGAUCUGUUUGAAGUAUGUCCCCAACCAGAUUAUUUUGCUUGGUUCAAUUUCAAUACCACUGUUUGGUUCAACCAUGUAUUUGGGGAGGAGGAUCCAAAGAGGAACUUGGUUAAUUAAUGCUAUACAAACUUGUUAAUACAGUAUGUUUUAGUUUUUGAUUGUUGGUUAUAUUUGCACUCAUUCUUCCUGUUAUUUAUUUAUGCUGUGGAAGUAAAUUGUGUAUAAAAAGUGUGUUAAAGAGUGUAUUUUUAGCAUUUUUCAAACUGUAUAGACUUUAGGUCAUUAUAAUUCAGUAAUUCACAUAAUUAACUGAAGGUCAAGGGUAAUUGGAUUAAUGAUUUUAUUAGGUCUUGUAAAGAAUGUCAAUGUACAUAGGUGAUAGACUCCGUAGCUACACUUUGUUUUCGAACUGCAAGUUCUAUUUAUUCUCAACAAAUGUCCUAGUUCCAAUUCAGCCAUGGGAAUGCAAAAAUAAUAAAGCUCUUGAAGGAGAAUCGAGGGAUUAGUCUUUGCAGUUGCAAACUGAAUAUCUGAUUCACAAAAAGAAUACAGAGAAGUUGCGAGCUAUUCCUUCCCUGGUUAUUAGUUGCACCAUAGUUCCCCUUACCCUUUUCUAUUAUGAUUUUUCAGCUAGAUUCUGGACUUCUAUGUUUUCUGCAGCUUCAGUCAGAGGUGCAAGACAUGAGUUUUCUUGCACAUUCAAUAGGCAUUAUUAGUGACUCAGAUGGGAUGGAAUGAAGCAUUGUGCCAUUCACCCUUGAAUUUUCCUUUUAAAGCUGGGAUAUUUUAUUCUAAUUCAUAAAUCUUCAGGCCAAGCGAAAGGAAACAUGGUUGAUUGAAAAUUUUAGGAAAUUCGAUGUACCGAAGCUCCCCACAGAAAUUUUUUACCAUGGAAAGAACUCUGAACAGCCAAAAGUAAUGUCGCCUCUAGAUACAUCAUCAAAAGCCCAGUGUCAGGGAGCACUACCCUCUCACCGGCCUCAUGCAAAUUAGUGAAUAGAAGCUAUAAUUUUUGUUUCUUGAGGAGUAACCCUCAGAUAGAUAAACGUGUAGCAGUAAGUCCUGCAUCUAUUUUUCUUAGUAAUAACUUUGAAGUGUUGAUUCAUAAACUUAGCUGGAAAAUGUUAUGUUGAGAAAGCAUUGUGUUCUCUUCUUCUUAGCUGGAAAAUGUUAUGUUUAGAAAGCAUUGAGAAUACUAGUCAGUUCAUUGAAAAGUUGAAGAAA